AGAGUUUGAUUCUGGCUCAGAACGAACGCUGGCAGCGUGGAUUAGGCAUGCAAGUCGAACGGGAAGCCGUUGAUCAAUCCUUCGGGAGAGUGAUGCGGUGGAGAGUGGCGAAAGGGUGAGUAACACGUAGGUAACCUGCCUCUAAGUUGGGGAUAACCCCGCGAAAGUGGAGCUAAUACCGAAUAUGGUCGUCCCGGGCAUCCGGGAUUGAUCAAAGAUGGGGAUCCUUCGGGACCUGUCGCUUGGAGAGGGGCCUGCGUCCCAUCAGCUAGUUGGUGUGGUAACGGCGCACCAAGGCUUACGGGUAGGUGGUCUGAGAGGAUGGUCACCCACACUGGGACUGAGACACUGCCCAGACUCCUACGGGAGGCUGCAGUCGAGGAUCAUUCGCAAUGCGCGAAAGCGUGACGAUGCGACGCUGCGUGGAGGAUGACGGCCCUAGGGUUGUAAACUCCUGUCAUUCGGGAAAAAUUGUUCAGGGUUAAUACCCCUGAGAAAAGAUGGUACCGGAAGAGGAAGCCACGGCUAACUCUGUGCCAGCAGCCGCGGUAAUACAGAGGUGGCAAGCGUUGUUCGGAUUUACUGGGCGUAAAGCGUGCGUAGGCGGUUUCGUGUGUCGGAUGUGAAAUCCCAUGGCUCAACUGUGGAAUUGCAUUCGAAACUACGAAACUAGAGUGCAGGAAGGGAGAGCGGAAUUCCUGGUGUAGCGGUGAAAUGCGUUGAUAUCAGGAGGAACACCGGUGGCGAAGGCGGCUCUCUGGAAUGUAACUGACGCUCAGGCACGAAAGCGUGGGGAGCAAACAGGAUUAGAUACCCUGGUAGUCCACGCCGUAAACGGUGCGCACUUGGUGUUGAGGUAUUGACCCCUUCAGUGCCGGAGUUAACGCGUUAAGUGCGCCGCCUGGGGAGUACGGCCGCAAGGUUAAAACUCAAAGAAAUUGACGGGAGCCCGCACAAGCGGAGGAGCAUGUGGCUUAAUUCGAUGCAACGCGAAGAACCUUACCAGGGCUUGACAUGUAGCUGCACGCCCCCUGAAAGGGGGGAAGCCUUUGAGGGUGCUACACAGGUGCUGCAUGGCUGUCGUCAGUUCGUGCCGUGAGGUGUUUGGUUAAGUCCAGCAACGAACGCAACCCUUGUGUUUAGUUGCCACCGGCGGCGUUAGUCGUCGAGCACUCUAGACAGACUGCCUGUACAAGCAGGAGGAAGGUGGGGAUGACGUCAAGUCAGUAUGGCCCUUACGCCCUGGGCUGCACACGUGCUACAAUGGUCGGUACAGAAGGAUGCAAUACCGCGAGGUGGAGCAAAUCCCCAAAACCGGCCCCAGUUCGGAUUGGAGUCUGCAACUCGACUCCAUGAAGUUGGAUUCGCUAGUAAUGGCGCAUCAGCUACGGCGCCAUGAAUACGUUCCCGGGCCUUGUACACACCGCCCGUCACAUCAUGAAAGCCGUUUGCUCCCGAAGUCGCUGAGCCAACCCGCAAGGGAGGCAGGUGCCGAAGGUGUGGGUGGUGAUUGGGAUGAAGUCGUAACAAGGUA
rnacentral:rRNA from 1 species